GAGCGACGGGAUAAGACGCUUUCAAGAUGAUGAUGCUUCGAAGGAUGCUGGUAGUUGCGUUUUCCGUGCUGGUCGUUGCGCUCUCUGUUGCAGCGCAGGUCGCAUCCAGUCGUGGUCCUAAUUCAUUACCUGGUUUUAGGAACAGAUUUGGAUUCAGGGGGAGACUUGGUCUUUUGAGGCCUCACUUUGACAACCGCUUCUGGCACGACUUUGAUAUCCACGGUUUCACCAGAUACGGAUAAAACCCAAUCCUGAGAAACAAGGCUUUUGAAUCCGGGCACCCAGACCUCAGAAAUUUCCUUUAAAAAAAGACCGUUUUCGCAGUCUAAGGAUUAAAUAUACCGAUGAUGGCAUUAUCUGACAUUACUAUAAUAAAACUAAAUCUUGUUAUAAAUUCGGUUCAGGAAUGAUUAUAUCACGAGAUUGAAUUUAUCGAGAGACCUGAGUGUGUGAGGUGAAUCAAUGUUUUUUUUUUGUUUAUUUGUAUAUUGAUCUGUUAAUAUUUCAGGGUUUAUUUUUUUUACUAUGAGAGUUCCCAAGCGUAUAUGUUUAUUAAAGGGAAUUUAGUAUUCUACAUUCUACCUAUAUCAGAUUUCAGUUUACACAACUUUGAUUUAGAAAAAGCAAUUGCAAAGUAGAUAUUGCUUUUACUUUAAAAAAAGCUGACAUCUGCAAUUAUCUUUUGCUCAUUAAUACUUACCUCUGUUUCUUUAUUUUCUCCUUGUUUAUAUUUCUUUUCAUUUUUUUAUAUAAAACUAUUGAUGAGAUAUAUUGCAGGAGAUCUUUUUAAG